ensembl:lncRNA
AGCUGCUGCUUUCUACAUUAUCGCAACUGCCAGAGCUCUUAGUGCUGCAGUUUUCUAGUCGCAGUGCGGCAAAGCAGACGCAUAGACCCAGGCACAAAGCAGCAUAGAUUUUUUAUUCUCAUCUUUUUUUUUUUUUGUCCGAGAGACGUUUUCCUGGUGUUAGCGCAGAAGCAGACAUGCAGCCUGGAUAUGCUGGCUCCAGCCUGGCAGCUCUUUCGGCUGAGCAGGGACUGUGUGGAGCUCGGUGCCCACGCUGCCGCUGAGGAAGAAAGCUGCUCUCCCACUCUGUGCCGUGACGAUACACCUGCAGCCACAAGACCGUGGAGAUGGCGGCACUUGUCUCUGUUUGCCUGACUGGGGCCUUUGCAGGUGCUCCUCUUCCGAAGCUGUGCUGGCGUUCCAGGGCCGUGCAGAUGGGUAAUACAAUUUGCUGCAGUUUCUUACAUCAGUGUAGCAAAGCUCAAGCGAACAACCAGACUCUGACCUAAAUCAGUCCCAGUUCUUCGGGAUACAGGGCAGCAGGCGACUGGCAGUGAUACAAUCAGCCAUCAAGUGGAGAGGCUCUGGGACUGCAAUCUGUAUGGGUUGGAGUCUGUGAGAAUGAAACAGUUCCCGUUAUCCGGUCGCUUCUCCUUCUAAUAAUACAAUUGCUACAACUGCUACUACUACCGCAUCUGUUUCUCCAUGCCUGAAAGAAGCUGCUCCUUGCGCCCUCUCUGUGUGGGUAUUUGCGCAGAUUAGUCUGUUGGUAAUGCAGCCCUUAUCUGCUUCUGCUGGAAACCAGGGCACGAAGUCAGCCUGCCUUAACAGUUGUUUCUUUCUGCGUGAUGCUAUGCAGCUAGAAUGGGUUACGCUGACAACAAAGGAGCCAGCACAAAGCAUCACUUUAUUUGCUGGACUGCUACAGGAACCCGACUCUUCUUCGCUACGAAGCCCUGUUCUCUUCCCUUUUUGUUUUUUGUUUUUUGUUUUUUUUAUGUAAUUCAUCUAAUUGAAGAGCCUAACAGACACCAUCGUGGAUGUGGGUUUUAAUGAUUUGGAAAAGACAGCCUGUGGAGACUGCGAUUGGAGACUGCAACACGCUUAGGUUAUUGCCAAUUUGAAAUACUUGGUUUGUGAAGCACAGCCCUAAGGGACAAGCGCAGUAACUGAGAGAGAGAUCGUAGAUAAAGAAAUAAAAAUGACAAGCAUAAUGGAGGCUCUGCAAGAAACUGUCAGGGAAUCAGUUCAUGGAUGGCAAUUUCACCAGUCUGAAUCUGAAUAAUUCAUAGAUUGAAAUUACCCUGCUUUCACCUUUCCAUUUAAACUGGCAUGAUCUGAAUCUCUAAUAAAUUUUCAAGAUAAAGUAAAAUGCCAAUUUGAAUCUGAAGAGCUUUUAAAACCAAAUGCUACACCCUGAGUCUUUCGAUACCUUUCACAAUUAUCCUGUGAGAGCCGCACUUCAUCACGAAGCACCAUUACCAGUGAAAAUUACGGUGAUUACAAUAGCAACAAUAGAAUACCGUCAAAUGAUCUCCAAUUUACCUAAUUUACCAAGGUUGACUGUGUGCCCAUUGUGCUUCACUACGUCUGGCAUUGGAUCAAUAUCACAGAGGAAGAAAAAUGCCUUAGUAUAUGCUUCCUUUUGGUGCCUUUAACUUUGACAGCACAGGAAAAUCUAUCUCCUGUUAAAUGUUUUUACAGCCCAUCUGCAUGCCUGCCAUAGGAUCUGAUUGAUUCUCCAUCAUUUUCUUUGGUUGCUGAGUAUUGGAUGUUAUUGUGUUACUAAUUUGUUUAUAACGUGUACUCCUGCACAAAGACUGCAGCAAACGAGUAACAGCACAGCGACUGCGCUGCUGCAGCAGUAGCACUGCACUCUCUCGCAGGGGAAGCCAAAAUGAGUUUGGUGCCUUAUGUGAAUAAUCACUUGCAUCUGGGUUAUAAAUGCUUCCAAACAUCACUCAUCUUGGUUGCACGACAUGAGAAAUGUGUGCAAAAGUCGUGGUCAAGGGAAAUGGUUAUCUGUAAUCCUAACAAGAUUUCCCCCCUAUCCAGCAAUCAGUAUGAGGCUGUGAGAGAUAAGCUGUGACUCUUUCUUUAAAUGUGUGUGUGUACAUACGCAUGCACGUACAUAGGAGGUAAGGAUAGUAUGCGUUGUGAUUACGUGCUGAUCAGUGAAAGCCACAUUUCUCUGACAAGCCAGGCACAGUGUUUUGCCACAAUCUGCUCAGUUGUAACAAAUCCCGGUUUUGGAGUUUAUAUUUUCUAUAGGACAAUACGUGACUUCUGGAACAAUUUACUCUGCCCCCAUGAAGUAUUUGCUAAGGAAGACAAUCCCUGUGGAGCUGAUAGCUGUGGACUAAUGACUGGUAUACCAAGCAGAUAAGCUGUGGACAUUUUUCAGUGUUAACAUAAUGACUUUCAUCAAAGGAGGAAGAAGUCUACUUAUUUUUCAUUUUGUUAAGGUGAGUUUGGAAGGCUUCGAUUCUAUAAAUCCUGAGAUCUAUGAUGUCUAUAAACCUAGCAUAUAAAAAUAGUGGCUUCAAAAAUAAAAGAGGUGAUAUUUCUGUUAGAAUAGAUUACUUUAUUUGACCUCCAACUCAUGAUUUUUAAGAAGUAUUUCAGACAAGUUCAGACAUCAGAUGUUUGCAGCAGGGUGUAACCGAAUGAUCAUUCUGGCUUGACAAGAUUAAUGUGAAAGCAACCUUUUUCCCUAAUUCACUUUCUUUUUUGCUGGUUGAGGUUAGCUAAAGUAUUUGCCAGACUGGGACAGAGCUUUGUCAUUAUCCUCCUCUUUCAGUAAUGAUAGACUUACUGAGUUGCUAAAGGAAAGCGAUUUACAAACCACCUUACAAAGAGAAACAUGACGCAAAGUAAGACAUGCCGUAGAUUAUAAUACCGUAUGACUGAUUUUAGUCUGAUAGAGGUGUUAGGCUAAUUAAGAAAGAAUUAAACUACACAUGACAGAUAUCAGUCGCAUUGCUUAAUGCGCAUUGCGCUGGAGGGUACAUGGAACCACAGGGGCGAUGAAAGCACUGCAAGAACAAAAACACAAGGAAAAUAAAAUACAAUUGCUGUGUGUAAGGAUAGUGGGUUUUGCAGGUAAAUACGGGAUUGUUGUUUGACAAGGUGUUUUUUCCAUGGCAUAAUUUAGCCAUUAAUAAAUCUUCUAUGCAGAAAACAUGUUAAGCUAUUAGAAACAGCUUGGGGGGGCUUCAGAGCACAGAAUCACCCUUGGACAGUUAUUUAUAUGAGAAAUAUUGCAUUAUUUUCUUAGUGUAAAAUAAUGACUUUUUCUCUUGUGAAAAACAUUCUUAUGUCAUCUGAACUUAAAAUCAAUAAAAUUUUCCAAGCUAAGAAGGUUGUGUUCAUAUCAGAAGCUUGUCUCAUUAAUUAGUUAAUACAAAGUAAAAACCCAUUUCGUAUUAAUAUGAGAAAGUAUUCAGAAAAUAUUUUCCAUGUAAAACAGAGAUUUUUUUUUUCCUCGGUCAUUCACUCUUAAUUUCUUAUGGUGAGUUCCUUUCCAAAAGAUUUUUUGGAGCUCUGAUUUAAGGUGAAAUCAGGCUGUUGUUUCCUAAAAAUAGAUUUAUAAGUAUGGAAAUAUAGAGAAGUUGUCUUUAGGCAUAGAAAUUUUUGGCCCUUCUUUGUAUUUAUGUAUCAUUUUCAUUUCUUCAUGCUUAUGUUGCAUAAAUCUGUUAGACCACAGAAUUAUACAUGUCCAUUCCUUACCAUCAGUGAGGUGAAUCUGUCUUAAGAAGAGAACAGGAUUAAGGUUCGUUUUUAGAUAGAGAGGUGAUGGUAGAACAUGUGGUAAAACUCCAAGGAGCAAUAAUACUUGUUCUAUUGUAUGUCCAGCGGAAGGAUUUCACAAAUUGCAAGGAGAAAUGUACUGAUUCAAGAUCAAAACUGCAGAAGGUUCAGCUCUGAGAAGUAGAGGCUGUGCAUCAGCACUGAUGCUCUCAUGCCAUGCAGGCAGGUGGGACAGCCCCUCUCUCUGAGCUUUGCCGCAGUGCUGCCUUCUCUUUCCCUUCAGUCUGCCAGAAGUGGGAGCAGUUUAAAAUCACGGAGUCCACAACACAAGGCUUUGGGCCUUUUGUUUCCUUUUUUUUUUUCUUUGAAUUGGUUUAAUACUUAGAACAAUUCUAUGGCUCAUGAGGAUUUUCCUGUCUUUCAAGUAACUCCUUAGAAUCAGGUGUUUCAGGGCAUAUCUUAACUUGUGUAGAUGACAGCGGAGUGCUAUAUACAAUCAGUUAUUGAUUUGUGGAUUAACUUGGAGAGAAGGCAUGUAACAUAUAUGUGACUCUUGGUACAAUACAGCAGAUCACAAAUAAACUCCUCCAUCCACUGCACAUGCAUUUCCUCCUCCUUCACCCACAGUACAGCAGGGAGGGCUGUUCAGAUGACUGUGUGGGAUCUUCACAGAGAAAGGAGACACAUUUGGGGCUGGGACUGGACUGAACUUGGGACAGUAAUGCAGGAGCAGCACUGCAGCUCAUCAAAGUUUCUGAUAUCACAAGUUAUUUUAACUAUUGAAGAAGCAAGAAAUGAAAAAGCAAUUCCUCCCUUACCAACACUCUCUGUAAGUACAUAAAAUAACUGCAAAAUGGUGGAGUUGAAAGGAAGAUAAGGAUGUUCAUACUCUGUGCUGGGACUGGAUGUAGGUUCCUCCCUUUCAGGUGUGUGGUCUAAGCUUCAGGUGAUGGGUGUGGUUCCCAGGUUUUUGAAGUUUUACUUUUUCUUCUUUUUUUCAUCUUCCGCCGAGCAUAUCACUCUGCUUUCUCAUGAACAGAGUAAUUAGCUGAGCAAUAAGCAGAUCUCCCAGCAGAGCUGUUUCCAUUCUGCCGCCAUACUAUGUAUUUACCAUGGGUUACCAUGCUUUCCUUUGCUUUACAAGUGUUCCCCUCUUUCUGAGCUUCAGCUGAACAUUCUGCUCAUUUUAAAAACACUGUUGAAAACCAGUCAGAAGAGAAAACAAUCCUUACAAUUCAUUUGCACAUUCACCUCCAAAUUGGAAACUGCUGUUUUGUUUUUCUAAUCCUGCUAGUUUAUUUCCAGGUUUGUUGAGUCUUUGAAGGCUUUAUGUCACUUCCAGAGUCCUGAGAAGUUGUUUACUAUAAGUAAGAACAUACUGAGUGCCUUUCGGUGUGAGUAUCUUGUUUCCAAGCCCUUUUAACAAAUUAAGAAAAAAAGAAUAUUCCAAACCAUUCUGCCUUCAGCAGCAGCACAAUAAAAACAAAACAAAACAAAAAAACAGGUGUUCAAACAAAAGGAAAAUAACUAAACCACAUAUUGCUUUAAAGUGUAUAAUGUUAGUAGAAAAUGUACUUCUCAAGAAGGAUGUUUGAUUACUCUGCACAUGAGCACUGAAUCCACCUUCCCUUCUUAUCGUCCAGUAAAGAAAUACAGUAUUCAUUUGAAUUUCAUUCUUGCACAUAGGUGCAAGUUUUAUCAGGAUAACAUAUGUAUGUUUUUGUAUGCUGAGACAUUGUUUUGCCUCUGCCUCAGCCUGUCCAAGGUGUAUUAAUAUUGACUGAUUAAUGUAUAUCCCAUGGUGUAUUAUUGCUUAUUUAAAGCAUAACGCUGCAUGACCUUUUUUUUUUUUUUUUUUUUUUUUCCUGUUAAUUAUAUUUUUCCCUUGUAGGAAAGCAAGUUUACUCAUUCUGAAUCAUGCCAAACCGCAUAAUCUGGAAAGGAAUAUUGUGGCUCUACUUGGAAAGUACUAAUUGGGUUUCAGCCAUCACUGGGAAAGUUGUAUAGCCUUUUAUUAUUUUAACUGGCCAAAUGCCCCUUGUUCCCACAUUAACAGCCUCCCUAUGACGCCUGUAACUUUGAUAUUAUUUUCACUUUUACGCUAAAUUUCACCAGAUGAAAGGCACAAAUGCUCCAAUUUCAAAAUAAAAUAAAAUAAAAUAAAUAGCAUGUUUUGUUAAUCCUGUAUUUCAGAGGGAAAGUCUGUGGAAAUGAUAACCUACGUCUACUGGCCAAAGUUUUGUUCAGUGAACCCAUCCUGCCAGCUGUUCUCAUUGGCAAGAGGAAAGAUAAUAUUUUGAUAUUUUUAAUUUCCUCAUUUUAGAGCAGAACUUUUGCUUGUGUCAUCAUUUAAAUCAUGUGUGUUAACAUCAGUCUGGCAGACAAUGCAGCCUUUAUAAAGAGCUGGGUUUGGAAGAUAUCACUGUGAUGUUGCAAUAAGGUUGUUCUAGAGCAUUAAACACAACUUAAGUCACUUACAGACAAGGAAUUGUUGCGGGCUCUCUGCUUUGUACUACUGAAGUACUGCUUUGAAUGUUCUGAGGAGGACACCAAAGCAGAUAUGUAGGAGCAUUUUAGUCAGAUAUAACUGGCCACUGAAGACACAAAAUAUCUCAAAACACUGGUCUCUCACUUGUGUUCAUGUUGUCCUCAUCUCACAAGGCAAAUUGAGAAAGGAUCACCAAAGAGCACCUAAGGUCCACUCCUUGGUGAGUGACAAGGGAUGGCCUCAGGUAGGCAAAAGGAACACUGAUAUUUCUGAGACAAAAAACAGUCACCUAAAGCUUGAAGCUUAACCAACAUACUUCCUAUCCAAAAUGCCCUAUCAUAUCCAAAAUGCAGACAGAACAUGUUCUCCCUUCAUCUUGGGUUCUGGCUGCAAGCUCUAAUUUCUACUAAAUAUUGAAGCCCACACCUUAGCAAAGGCUUAUUUCAGCAUAUCAUAGAAUCAAUUGUUUUGACUUGGAAAGGAUCUUUAAAUGCCACCUGGUCCAAUUCCCCUACAAUGAACAGGGACAUCUAUGGCUAGAUCAGGUUGCUCAGAGCCCCAUCCAGCCUGAUCUUGAAUGUCUUCAAGGAUGAGGCUUCCACCACAUCUCUAGGCAACCUGGCAAUCUGUUCCAGUGUUCCAGUACCCUUCCCAUAAAAAACUUUUUCCUCAUAUCCAGUCUAAAUCUCCCCUUUUUCAGUUUGAAACCGUUCCCCUUGUCCUGUCACAGCAGACCCUGUUAAGAGUCUGUCCCCUUCUUUAUUAUAGUCCCUCAUGAGAUACUGAAAGGACGUUAAAAGAAGAUUUCAUUCAUUUGUGCCUUACAGUAAUUGUAUAAUUACUGUCUUAAAUGCUCUGAGGUGGAUGGUGUUUAUGACCAUUCCAGUGUGUUUCAUAGGGGAACAGCAUAACCUUCCACUGUCCUGAAAUAGAACGGGGCCCUUCCAUUUAUUAAAGUUGUCUUGGGCAAGCCAGCAAAGUCUGUAAUGGCUCUCUUAUAUCACCCUGUGUGCACUUUGUAAUGCGGGGCACAUUUCAAGGAAAAUGGAGAUAGUUCCUACAGUUUGCCUACGUAUUGCUGUUGAAAUAUAUUAUUGCAAAAAUUGAAAAUAAAAAGAUUUUGCAUUUUGUUAGCAAAGCUCAGCCCUGCAACCAUACUAAUAAUACCACAGUUAUACCACAGUUACAACAAGGAUGCAAGUUUGCAUUUAAAUAUAUUUCUCCAGCUUUUGCAGUGUGUGAAUUCAGGAAAAAAAAAAUCAAGUUUUAAUUUCCUCUAGGAACGUAUAAUAAUUUACUGCCUUUUUCUGGCUGUGCUGCCAUUCAGCAAGAUCUAGAUAUGUUGGAGAGUUGAAUGGAGAGGUACCUUUAUGAGCUUCACAAGGGUGAGUGUAAAAUGCUAUACCUGGGGAAUAGAAAUCGUGUGCAGGUUAGGGGCUGACCUGCUGGGAAGGAGGUCUGCUAAGAAGGACCUAGGUGUCCUGAUGGAGAACAGUUGACCAUGAGGCAACAGUGUGCCCUUGUGGGCAAGAAGACCAAUGGUAUCCUGGGGUGCAUUAAAAAGAGUAUGGCCAACAGGACAAGGGAGGUGAUCCUUCCUUUCUAUUCUGCCCUGAAGUCAUAUCUGGAGUACUGUGUCCAGUUCUGGGCUCCUCUGUUCAAGAAAAACAGGGAGCUUAUAGAGAGAGUCCAGCAGAGGGCCACAAAGAUGGUUAGGGACCUGGAACAUCUCCCUUACAAGAAAAGGCUGAGAGACCUUGGGCUGUUCAGCCUGGAAAAGAGACUGAGAGGGUAUCUUAUCAAUGCUUAUAAAGUGCCGGAAGCAAGUGGAAGCCCAGAGACAACAGGUACAAACUGAAACCCAGGAAGUACCUUAUGAACAUGAGAAAAGACUUCUUUACUUUGAGGGUUACAGAGCACUGGAACAGAAUGCCCAGACAGGUUGUGACUUCUCCUCUGGAGAUAUGCAAAACUCACCUUGAUGCUUUCCUGUGCAAUCUACUGUAGGGAAACUGCCUUAAUAGGGGGUUGGACUAGAUGAUCUUCAGAGGUCCUUUCCAACCCCUACAAUUCUAUGGUUCUAUGAUUCUGUGAUUUUCUCCUUCUGGUUAGCAUUCAUUGCUGCAAAUGCAGUUACAAGUCUGUAUCUUAAGUUUUUCUUGCCUACUGAACUGACAGAGCCUUUCAGAGUACUCUCAGACAAGGUCAGUCCAUUAAUCAAGAAUGAAAGUACAAGGGAAAAAUGGCAAAUUCAUUUGGUAGCACUCUUAACAAGUUAUUUUCCUGAAUUUGGAGUUUGUGUGCCCCAUGCAAUAGCCUUCUCAGUUAUUCUACAUGUACUGCAGUUUCACAAAGCUGCUGCAGAUGGACCUUGUCCAGAAGCUUGUUUAGAGUGAAACUGUAAAUUCCAGCCUCCUUGGAAAGCUAACACUGCUGCAUUAGUGCUCCAAAAUACUGCAGGAGGUGGCUGAGAGCCUUGCACACUGUGAUCCCAUGCAGCAGGGCAACUGGGAGGGUACUGUCAGGUACUGAUUGCACUCUGUGGGAUAAGCCAUGGAUGCCCAUCAGCUGCUAGCAGCGAGGAAGCACUUGAACAUUGACCUCUUAUCUUAGAAAAGGCAAAUAUUAAUUGCAACAACUGCACAAAUAACAAAGGUAAGGUGUUAAAAAAAAUAGUAAUAUCUUCCAUCUUUUAACUUUGUUCAGGUAACUUGGAAAUUGUAGAGGCAAGUAUAUCAUUUUAGAUGAAAGGAAGAAAAUUUAGGAAACAAAACAUCCACAGCCAUAUUUCUUGAAAACAAUCAGAAAAGACAUCUGGCAUUAUUUAAGUCUUUCUAUAUUAACAGCUAAAUUUACAGUAAAUUGCAUACGUGAGCAAAACAAAAAAGAAAUCCACUAUGGUAGUGGAAGGAAAGAUAAAAGCUUUCUAAAAUCAGGAGUAGUAAAGACAGGUCACAGAGGGAACGGAAGUUUUUGUAUCACAAUAGACAGUAAACAAGGAGGCAUAAAAUAAUUAGUUAAUUCAAAACAAAUAAAACCAGAAGCGUUGCCUCAUGCAGCAGUUAGGCAACUUUGAAUUUGCUUGUCACAAGAUGUUGAGGUUUACAGAAGCUGACAUGAAUUAAAAAUCUCUUGGACGAACUCAUCCACCAGGACCUACUAAAUGCAAAGAGGCAGCCUCAGACUUAGGAUAUUGUAUCACUGGAAGCUGGGAAGAUAAUGUGGGUAGCUAUCACUGCAAGCUUAUCAUUUUAUUAUAAUCUUCAGUAAUCGUCCACUUUUCACUAUUUGUCCUCAUUUUUGGAGCCAAGAUACUGGGUUAGAUAGGUCUUUUUCAGUCUGAGCUGGGAUGGCCCUUCUUGCAGCCUGAUUUUAAAUAAUUCCUGCAGUUUGUAGAGAAUCUUCUAAGGAUCAAUCUGAACAAUAUGAGUCAGAUAAAGGACACCAAACAGAACUAAGACUAAAAAUGUCAGGAGCAGAUAACUAAGAGAGAAGACUCUGCAAGUAAUAUAAAGAGAAGAUAAAGUAGGAUGAAAUUUUCAUCUAGCCUUUAACUCUUCAAGAAAAAAAAGUGCCACCACACAUGAUAUGAUGGAAAAUUACUCAUCUCUGUAAAAGAAAAAGAAUACUUCUAUCCUUCCAGUGGGUGAAAUUACAAGAAAAUUGAAAUUUGUCCUUAAACAGAAAGAAUUGUAAUUGUCAAAUCACAUAUAUAUCAAGCUCUGCAAGUGGAUGGAUUCAUAGUAAAUGAUGAGUUAAUGAGCAUAUGAAAGUGUAAAAAUCAUAGAACUUCCAGCUUAUUAAAAAAAGAAAAAAACAACCUACUUGAAUUAAUUCUGUAGUUACAUAUGCCCUAUAAAAAGGUAUUGAUCAAGUCAUUCCUCUGUCAUGAAAAAUGACUGAAUGUAAAAUAUUCUUUGAUUCUUCUUAUAUAGGUGAAAUCCUCAUAUUGUAUGGAUUGCUCAGACUUCACCAAAUUCCAUAGAACUACGACAAGUAACAGCAGUUGAUGAUCUACCCAACAUGUGUACCAUGUUGGCCAACACAGCAAAAAUGUAAAUUCUGCCUUGAGGAAAUCACCUUUUUCAAUGAGCUCAUGGAUUGGAUAGCAGUACACGCCCUUUGUCUUUCUUGGGCCUGGGGCAACCCAAAGCCUCUCUGAAUCUGAGUCAGGCAAAGAGGAGUUGUCCCACUGCUGGCACCUGCAAGUGAACGUUGUAAAGUUCAGUUGUCAACUCUUUCUUUAAUGAAAUUCUGAAAGUGUUAUUUACAGUUAAACCCAGUAUUUUCUAAAUUGAGUGUCACCUCUAAUUCUCUAAGGUGACAACAAAGAUAUGAGUGAGCUGCUGUCUGGUGACUUUCCUUUUCCAGGGCCUUCAGAUGUUCUUCUACCUGACAAACAGCUCCAGUGACAUGAUGUUUUCAGGAGGUUCAUCAUUGGCUUCAGUGUACCCAGAUUUCAGAUUCAACUUCUGCUGUCAGAAAUUCUCACAGCACUCUUUUCCAAGAAGGACAGAAAUCUUCUGUUUCCUUUUUCCCAUAUUAUCAACAAAACAUCCGUAAUCACACUUUCUUUUUCUACAUAUUUUCCCAGUAGAAGCUUGAGACUUGAUAUCUCACCUCCAACUGUCUGCUUUCAGUCACUACAACUUCUAGGUCAUGUAACUAAAUUAAAAAAAUAAACUUAUAAUGAAUAAGAAAAGAUUUCUUUGAAAUAAAAUGUAGUAACAUACAAAUAAUUUUUUUGCAUUUUCAACCACUGAAGCAGAACAGUAGUCAUUUAGUGUAUAUCAUAACUUGAGGUAAACCAGUAUUUUUUCAGGACAUAGAAUGAGAGAUAACUUUUCUGUUGUUCCCUAAUGAACUGAAGUCAACAUGCUAGUUUUCUUUCUGUGUUAUCUUGAAAUAAAACAACUACAUAAUAACAGAAGGUUUAUUUUCAUUAUCAUAUGAAAGAGAGACACAAACAUGCAAAAUUUUUUCAUUUUUAAAAAGGAUUAAUUUGUAAAUAUCAAUCUAUAACAUAUAAAAUAAAUAACCCUGCUUGAAAGAAUAGAAAAAGUUUUGUAUUUGUUUAGUUAUUGAGUAGAGAAUCAUGAACAUUUGCAUAAACAGUAGAUUCAGAUUAUCCUUUACCAUUAUUCUUUACUUGCUGGAAUGGAUACCUGGUAAUAAUCAAUCAUACCAGAACUAUAGCUGAUAAUGGAUGAUUAAAGGCUAGGGAACAGAUGUAAAGGGAAAGUAGAACUUUUUUUUUUUUUUUUUUUCCUGAGGUUCUUAUGUGGUUCUGCUUUAUUCCCUUCUACCAAGUUCAACCAAGUUCUGUGUAACAUAAGGGACUAAAUUAGGACUGGAUUUGGACUGUUUCCCAUCCUGUGAAAACAUCCCUUUCUUGAACUGAGAGAAAAAAGAUAUUACAAAUUAAGACCUUGAUAAAGUUUUGGAACUAAAAAUAAUGAUAAUGUCAAAAGAGUCAAUGGCAAUAUUUCUUUUAGGUUAUCUAAGAAUAUUUGGAUUGUACUAGAACUAGUGUAUAUUUUGUAACUAAAAGCCAUUUUUGAGAGAACAAAACCUUUGAAGUGUUAAAAAUGUGUUUUUAUCAAAUUCAGUUUUUCAGUGUUUUGAAAUCUUAUUUGAUCCACUUCCUACCAUGUUUUGGCUUAGACAAAUAGGUGUGUUUUUGGAUGAAAAUCAUUUCAUCUAAAAGUUCCAAGCUACUUUUGCUGUUCACAAUAAACCAUAGAAAUAUCACAGGAAACUUCUGGUAUAUACAGCGUCUUAAUCAGCUGGAAUUUGAAUAAUAUGCAGACACAUAUCUAACUCAUUCCCAAAUGACUAGGAAAUCUGUGUCACAUAUGCUUUUCAAAAAGGGAGUUCUCAAAAAAUUUAAUUAAACAAGAGAAUGAAACACAGCUUGUUCAGUUUGAGGUUGUUCUUUUUUUCUUUCUUUCUUUUCUUUCUUUUUUUUUCUUUCUUUCUUUUUUUUUUUUUUUUUUUGGUAUUUAUUUAAAAUCAUCAUUCCAAUCACUCCAUUUUGUUUCCUAAUGUAUAUAUCUGUUUAAACCCUAUAAGUUCCUUAAAUAAAUUUGAGUUUUCUUUUGUUGGCAUCCCAAGAAUUCAGAUCACUGAGAAAUCUACCUGAGAACUCAAAAGAUGAUUAAGACCAUAGUGGGCAAACACACGUGCUUGACUACACAGGUAUUAGCAUGCAGUCAUCUACAGCACAAAUGUAUGCUUCUAUACCAGUUUCAGGCUCCUAGUUUUCUUUUUUGACCCAGUGGAAGAGCAGAGCUUUACAAAGCAAAUCCUGAAUUUUCACAGGUAAUUUUUCACAGGCCUCCAGGCCUCUUAUAAAAAGCUUAUAUGUUCCCCGUGGGCUCCUUGUGGAAAGCAACAGCAAGCACCAAUGAGCCAAAAUUAUUCCCACCAUUGAAACUCUUUAUAGUGCACAAAGACUAUAAGGUACCUUUGUGCCACAUCUCUUUCAAAUCCAAUUUCUGUUUAAAAAUACAAGCCUGCUUUUGUAAGUGGUUUGUCCAAGGAACAGUGGGAAAUCUUUGCAUUAUCACUAACUGAUUGAUUAUAAAGUCUGAUAGUCCUGUGUUUUCUGAUUCUAAUUAAAGGGAUAUUAUUCAAAUAGAUUACAAAACUUUCCUCCUGGUCAAUAAAGAAUUUUGCUUGUGGCUCUAGACAGAAACAUUAAUGCAUUUCUUGUGCAUAACAAAGUGCUCAUGGCACCAGCAGAGACUUUGACUUCAUACAUAAACACUAUUAACACUUCUUAGUUGCCUUUUAAGGUGGUAGAGCAUGAGGGGCUCUGCCAGAGAGGCUUUAUAAGCUUUAUCAAACCCUACUGUGGCAGUUCAGGGGAUUACCAGCCACAGCUGUCUGCUUUCUGAAGGCAGAAUGCCAGCCCUCAGCUCACUUUGCUGUCCUGACUGUACUGCAGGUGUGAAUACAUUUUGGUCUCCUUAUGAUAUCUGCACACAAAAAAACAAGAGGAAAAAUCAGUGCAUGGAAAAGACAGUCUCCCUCUUCUUGAUCUCUCAGGGUACAGACAGUUACAGUCUAACAAAUCUAUUGGCAAUCAUCUCUGUAUUGACAGAGUUCAGGCUAAGAAUAACUGGAACUUUCUUUGGUUGUUUUUUGUUGUUGUUGUUGUUGUUGUUUGUUUGUUUGUUUUUGUUUUUUUUUUCUUUUUCUUCUUUUCCUUUUUGAGAGGGUGGGGAAUAUCUGAUCCAGUUGUCACACAGACCCAUAAACAAUGUUACAAGGUCAACUGAAAGACAGUAUAGGCUGGGAAUGAGCAGCUGGGGACUGUUCGGAUAGCACUGUCAGUGAAUGGCACUGCUUUCCUGCACUUGCACUCAAUCUGAGUUCGAGCAUUCAGAUAAUCAUCUAUGACAUCUGAGAUACAGGAGCAGUGCCCAGCAGGUGGGCCAGUACCUGCUUAAAUCUAGCCCAAGUCACUGGAAAGGACAUCUGCCUCUGCUCUCAGAUCUGAUGCUUCAGUGGCCCCACCGCAGCUGAGCAGUAAGAACUCUGCCGUGCAUUUAUGAACUGAUAUUUUUAAGAAACUCUUACUGUGAGAUGUAUUUUGAAUAAGUUUUAACUCAUUCAAAAAUGGCCAAAAAAUAAAAAAUAAAAAAAAUCCUGCUGUCAGAUGUGCCAAAUCAUUGCAACACAUGGAGGUACUAGAGCUUCUCAACAAAAAACAGUUGCAGAAAUAUUUUUAAGAUUCCUAAAAGAGCAACAUUUUCUCUUAGCCUUUGUUCAGCAAAAUCAUUUUAUCUGAAGCUUUUCACUCUGGGUCAUGUGCUGCUUUGGGAAAGGAAAGUCUGAAAAUGUUACAGGCACCUGAAAUUUCUGAAGAAUUCUUUUCUGAAGAAAAAAUCUGGGGCACCUGUGCCUAUGUUAUCUUCUAGUCUAAAAAAAACCUUGUCUCUCCUUUCUUCUUCUCUUGCAUCCAACCCCAGACAGUCAUGUUUCUAAGUAGACACUGGGGCUAGCAUACAAUACUAUAAGCAUAUCAAAAUGACUAAUAUGAAAGGGCUGAGUAAAAGGCCUUUAAAAAUAAACCAAAGAUAAAUCAUUAUUUAAGAAUUACUGUUUUGUUUGCUUGUCAUUAGACAUCUGUUCAUAGACACUGCAAAUGUUCCACUGUUUGUCUGGGUUUAAUCGUAACAACUUUGCAGAGGUGCCUUCUUCUUCCUCAUUGUUUUCACUUGGUUUCUAAGGCAAACAAUACCUAUUUUUUUUUCCAGGCCUUUUAAUUAUUUAAAGUUGCUAAAAUGCUAGAACUCAAUAAUUGCAUAGGAUGGAAAUUUAAAUCCAAACCUCAGAAUGUACCAAGUGUGUACAGUACCAGACCUUGUCUUGACCCCUGCCGCUGGUAGCCCCAGGACCUCCCUGCAGUGACUAGGUAUAAUUCAGGUCAGAACUUGACCCAAAAUAUGUAAAGCUAGCCCUCCCCUUCCUCCCUUCUCCCAGUCAGCUGCUCCCAUUUCCAGACCACAAAUAGUGUACUGAAUCCAAAUUGUUUACUUUGCUGGGAAUGCCAUCUGUGUGUUGGCAGCUGGGGUGGGAGGGAAGGCACACACACUGAACAACAGCGAUAAAUACAGACAGUGGACUAAAUUAGGAGUUCUGCUGCUUUCCAGUGCUCUGCAUCCUUGCGUGCUUCCAUUAAGUGGAUACAGUUCUUCUUAAACAGAUACUGAACAUCCAGAUUAUUCAGCAAGAGAUCAAAUUCAGAACAUUUGAAGAGAUAUAGAAAUAAGCCAAUCUGGGUAAAUACUAAGACUACUGAAAAGGUUUAUGUCAUUUAUGGCUAAAUUCACUUAACAUCUUACAGUACACUGGAACCAGCAAGGGGAAAUAAAAACAACAGUAAAUACUAUCAAAAUGAGUACGUUGUAAGUCAUCCAAAAUGAAAAAUCAGAGAAGAUCUGGUGAGAAAGUUUCUCAUAGACCAAAGAUAAAGUCAAUAACCACUUAAUUGGCAACUGAUUCUGAAUUCUGAAGAGGAAUUGCUGGCAUAACAUCUAAAUUUCCCAUUUAAAAGGUCUUACAUUUGAACAAUUCACUAUAUUACAGAAAGGAUAAUUCAGUAGUUAAAAGCUCAUCUUAAAGUAUAUGUGUAUACAAAGUGUAUCUGUAAAUGUGAUGGCAGGGGAAAAUUUAAAGAUUAAAAUUUUGCUCAUAUUUCUUCACUAACAGCUUGACAACAGCAACAUGUCUACACAGAAUCCUAGAAUGCCUGAGGUGGGAAAGGACCCUUGAAAAUAGUCAAGUCAUACUACUCUGCUCAAAGUAGGGUCCAUGAGGGUUGCUCAGCACCAUGCCCAGCUGGGUUUUGAAUAUCUCCAAAGACACAGAAGCCACAGCCACUCUGUUGUCUUACUCUUGGAAUUGUCUAAAAUACAUGAAACUUAAGAACAAUCAAUAACAAGAAGUGAGCUCAGUCCUUCAGCAAAUCUACAGCUGCAGUCCUGAAGAAAUUAAAUGACAAAGAAAUGGUUUAACACCCCUUAAUUUAUGAAAGUUGGAUUUACGUCACUAACUUGAUUUACCUUAGCUUACUUUGUGUAAUGCAAAAAUGACAGCUCUUUUGUGUAAGGUUUACCCAUCCUGAAGAGAGUACAUGGAGGCAAGAAGUUAACUUUCAUCAGUUUGAUAGAGAGGUCCUCAUGUUACCAGGGGGGCUGGCUGGUGGACACUCCCCCAAGUCCUCAUUACUGGUGGCGGCUGGCUGAUAGAAUGUCUACACUGGGAUUACCUCCAACAGGUUCUGGUGGUGACUCGCUGACAAGAAUUCCACACAACCCACUGGUAGCAUGGCCAUACAUAUAAAUGCAGGAGACAAUAAAGUAUGGUGUAUUAGGAUAAGCAGAGUCAUGGGCAGAAAGCAAGGAUACUUAGUUACUACAGAGAAGUAUUUCUCAAGGGAGUUUCUUCUAGCUGCAUCCAGAAUCUAGAGGCAGUUCACUUGUGUUCCCAAGCCAGCAAGAGCUCUUUCUCAUGGGCUAGUCGCCUGUCCAGGCCGUAUUCAUCUGUAUUUUUCCACAAACUUGGCUACUCUUAUUUAGAAUUGACUGGAAACAGGUUUCCUACUUCAGUUUUCCAACAGCAAGACAUAAAGAAUAAGGAAGGACACGUCCUAUUGGUAAGCAUUUUAACAAUUUGGCUGACAUUGGUCCACUAGAAAAGGCUAUGUAAUCAAAAAUGUACAAUCGCAUUCACAUCAGCUAUAAUAGGCUUGUCACUGUAUCUGCCCUUCGGAUUUCCUAAAAUGUGCUGCACUAAUGUUUGACUGUAAUGUAAGGUAAGAUUUUCUCUGCUGUGACAAUGCAUAGGCUUGAAGAUCUUGUAUUUUCAUGUAAGAGUUAAAUCUUUCAAAACUGAUACCCCAGAUCCAGAGGUAUUAGGAAAGUGAGGAAGAAAUGUCUUGGUUCAGAAAUGGGUUCCUAAUGCCUAUAGAGAUAGCUGAUAGUUGUUCACAAAUGAUCAAAUCAUAAAUGUUGGUUAGUUUAAAAACUCUCUAAAGUGUUAGAGUAAUUUUUUAGUAUUUUUAUUUGAAAUACAGGCCACAAAUAGAUUUCCGUAUAUUUUAGAGGCUGAGACUAUCCCAAAUAUACGAUAUAUGGGAGAUACUCUAAAGUGAUUCACCUAAAUACCGUGGGCCAAGUUUCUGGUCUUAAUGGAGAACUUCUCUUUGUUCUCUGCAGCUUACCUUGGUAAUUUCUUCCAAUUUUAUUAAUAUCUUCUUAGAAUUAUUCCUUAAGGAAGAACCUUGAACUGCAGAUCACCUGCAAUGAACAAAAUUCUUUACCAGCCACAGUGAGAUUCACAAAACAGCAAAAACAGCACAGAACAGCAUAAGCAGAUUAUUCUGAUACAUUAGAAAUAUUGAAUUUCAUUGCUUUGUAUAUAUUUUAACAGAAAAUUUUAAAGUCCUGAGUUAGCACCUGAAUUCCAUUUGAAUAACUUUGCCUCAAAAACCUCAUGUUAUUACCUUGAGACUUAAGACCACCAUCACCACUGAAAUUUUUGAAUUAUUCAGAAAAAUUGAUUGGGUUUUGGUCUGUUUAAAGUCACUGAAGAAAAUGGGAAAGAAAAACAGGUACUUAUACAAAUUCUACAAUCACCUCAAUUUUGUAAUUCCAAAUUUGCAGCACAAGAUCUACAUGACAAAGCAGGAACACUACCUUAAAGCCUUGUUUUCUUGUUUUCCCUGUUCCUUGUUUUCUUUGGCACAAAAGCUUUGUUCAUCAGUAGUCAUACACUUUCAUAUGUACUGGUGUUUGUAGACUUUUAAAAAAUAAGUACUAUUCCUCAGUUUUCUUGUUAAAUAAAUAUUUUCCCAUUCUAAAAUGAAGCAAGGAUUGAAUUGGCUAGCUAGUUUAAGAAGUGAGCAGAUUUGGUAACAAAGCAAGUCACUGAAAUGGCCACAGAGAUUUUCAUGGUGGUCUUAAUGGACUUUGAACAUCUCUCCUGGAAGAACCCCUUUUUCAUGGUCCAGUUUCUGUCUCAGUCAUCAAAAGUUACUUCUAAUUAAAAUACUGUAUCUAGUGGUUUACCAGGAGAAUAAAACAGAAAAUUCCAAUUUUUGUUCCGAAGAACAAAUGUGUGUUUGACAUUUUUGGAGUAACAUUAUAGCACUGCUUCUUAUGUAAGUUUUCCUCCUUCACACAAUUUUCUCUUCUGAAGGAAAAUGAAGCAUUUGUUUUUUGUUGUAAAAAGCGAUUCUUGAAAGAGUUAACAACAAACAAAAGCUUUUCUUGCAAUUUGAAAGAUCUUGGUGACAUGUCAUUUUUCCAGAAAAAAAGUCUGCAAUAGCUCAGGAUUUCCAUGAGUAGUCUGGAUUUCGUGGGAGGAAAGAUGAUGGCAGGAAGUAACUGAGUACAUCUACAGCUGAUUGUCUCAACCUUCCUGGCUCUGAACUAUGUGUGCUAAGUGCUGCCCUAUGUGCAUUUUCAUACAAAGCAGUUUCUUGAAUUAAUAGAAUACAGCAGAAAGGGAUUUGAACUUCCACUCAUCCUGCUACCACUGAUGUGCACCGUAAUUGCCGGGCACAGACAACACAGUCUACUUGUCUCUAUUUUCUUCCUUCGUGAGUCAGAGAGAAUACAAUGAGCGAGCAGUAGUUAGAAUUGGUCAGAUUAGUAAAUGAAUAAGCUAUUUAGUGUAAUGAAUAAAGCAUUAUUCAAAGUCUGCUUUUUAAAUACCCUUUUCCUCAGCUCAGUGAGCCUUGAAAAAAGGCAUAUCAGAAACUAGACAUUACUAGACAUUACUUCCAAGCUGAAUUUACCCCUUUACAAGGGGUCACCGUUUACAGAAAAAGCAGAUCAAUACAUUGAAAAGGGUAACAGUAUGAAUGACUGCGAGAAAAGUAGAGAAACAAAAUCUGUGGUUCACAUGUGUUGCUCUGUUGUGCUCAUGGGUGAGCAUUCACAUGAGAAGAGAUGCCUUUAUUUUGCCCACUAAAAUUCUCCUUAUGUUUUCUUUCCAGCAAGUGGAGAAACUCCUCCAGACGUAGUCACUGCAGAAGCCUGCGGUCAGUGCACAGCUCGCUGCCUGCGGGAACCACCUUCUUCACAGGCUUCUGGAAAAUAAGCACAUUGCUCAGCCAUGUUAGGUCUUUCAUGUUGCGUGCUCCACACUAAAGAAAUAAGCUAGCAUUGUGAAAGGUAAGAUACCACCAUUGUCUGAGAAAAACCACUGAAUGAUCCUGGAAAUGCAAAUUCUUCUUUUUACAUGUAUUCAUACAUGUAAAUAAAAUCCUGACAAAGGAAUUUUAUUCAGCUGAGUCAUGUUCUUUGUCUUCAAUAGUAUUCUAUUAUAAAUGAACAGAAACUUCAAGUUAGGAUUUGCAUCUGAACAGUAGCCUCCAUUUGAGUUCAGGUGAGACUGCUAUGUUGUAAAAACUCGUAACUCAUGCCAAUUUAUCCAGAUCAGAUUUCAAAUCUUUUUAAUAUUCAGUAGUACAGAAAGCAACACUGCCAAACUUCAUAACUGUUCUCACAUUUUGAUUAGAAAAUUUUCAUAAAUACCAUUUCACAUGGGUGUUUUCAACAUGCUAGUUGCAUAAUCUCCUCUGUGCAAUUAGUUACACAAACACUGAAAAAUAAGUUUAUGACCUGGAAGCGAGUUUUGAUAAACCCUUCUGAAGAAGUACCUGAAACAUAGUCCUGGACAAUCUACAACUGAUACGAAUGAUUCAUGCAUAUACAACAGCACAGACAGUCUCCAAACAAGUUAAAGACCUGCCAGGAGCAGCAGUAAUUCAAUAUCUGCUUUUAAAAAAAGAAUGCAAAACAGAUCAUAACUGAGGAAUAAGAUGCUGAAUUCUUCUGAUGGGGAAAGUUAUGGAACACACUAAUAAUUUGGGAGAUUUACAAUGUCCUGACAGAAAUACAGAAGACAGAGAAGACAGAAGGGAUAACAGAAAAAAAGAACAACAGCCAUGGAAAACUGCACAUUGACAGUGCACCACUUCUUCCUUAUUUACAUAAUUAAUACUUGGUCUUCUGAGCCAUGGGUCCACCUUGUUCAAUGUACAUGAUCUACACAACUGUGACAAGAGUACUCAUAAUAUGUUUCUUUUGGCCUUCUCCUCCACAG